CCCCGACCGCCGAUCGACCGACCGUUCGCCUGUCCCCGACACCGAGAACUUGCCCGAUCCCCUGAAUCCGAAUGAACCACUCCGCACUCGGGUCCUGCCGUCCCGGUUCUCUCGGCCGCCCGUGACAACGUAAGGCCGACGGUUUUCCUCAAGACACAAUAAGAAACAAGACUGCAGUGACGCAGUUACUGAGGCUCUCUCCUCACACGCCAGCUGAGCCGCUUCACCUCUACUUCACUUCAACUUGAAUCGGGAAGCAAAGACAACUCGCCAGUGCUUCGUGAUCCAUGUCAACAGUCAGAGCAAAACAUCCUCCUCCCCCAAUCCGUCACCGUCGAUCUGCGUGAAUCACUAGCUCUGGGUUUCUCAUCGCCACUAAAAAAAAAAUCCUUUUCAACAAAAAUCAUGUCAUUGACCAGAAACUAACAUAACCUCGAUUUAGAGUAAAUUACAUUUAUAAUGCACAUUGCCUCUAAAUGUGAGUAUUGUAUUAAUCCUCAGCGGGAUACAUUUCACAGAAAGGAAAACAACCUUCGACAGCCUUUUAUCUGCAUGGCUUGCUGAAUAACAAAGAGCCACCUCCACCCCCUUCUCCAUGAGGUCAGAUCAUGUUAUUG